AAACUUUCAACAAUGGAUCUCUUGGUUCCGGCAUCGAUGAAGAACGCAGCGAACUGCGAUACGUAAUGUGAAUUGCAGAAUUCAGUGAAUCAUCGAGUCUUUGAACGCACAUUGCGCCCCCUGGUAUUCCGGGGGGCAUGCCUGUCCGAGCGUCAUU
rnacentral:rRNA from 2 species